GAUGAAGAACGCAGCGAAAUGCGAUGAGUAGUGUGAAUUGCAGAAUUCAGUGAAUCAUCGAAUCUUUGAACGCACAUUGCGCCCUUUGGUAUUCCAAAGGGCAUGCCUGUUCGAGCGUCAUUUGUACCCUCAAGCUUUGCUUGGUGUUGGGCGUCUUGUCUCUAGCUUUGCUGGAGACUCGCCUUAAAGUAAUUGGCAGCCGGCCUACUGGUUUCGGAGCGCAGCACAAGUCGCACUCUCUAUCAGCAAAGGUCUAGCAUCCAUUAAGCCUUUUUUUCAACUUUUGACCUCGGAUCAGGUAGGGAUACCCGCUGAACUUAAGCAUAUCAAUAAGCGGGGA
rnacentral:misc_RNA from 1 species